CUUUWAAAGUACUGAGGGCUGAUCCUAGUCCUCGUGACUGGGCGCAAGCUCGGGACUUGCCAUCCCCAUUGUGGGAGGUUAGUACCAGGAGUGCACCUGGUAGGACCCGAAAGAUGGUGAACUAUGCCCGGCCAGGACGAAGCCAGAGGAAACUCUGGUGGAGGUCCGUAGCGAUUCUGACGUGCAAAUCGAU
rnacentral:rRNA from 1 species